AGAGUUUGAUUCUGGCUCAGGAUGAACGCUAGCGACAGGCUUAACACAUGCAAGUCGAGGGGCAGCAUAAAAGUAGCAAUACUUGGUGGCGACCGGCGCACGGGUGAGUAACGCGUAUGCAACCUACCUAUCAGAGGGGAAUAACCCGGCGAAAGUCGGACUAAUACCGCAUAAAACAGGGGCACCGCAUGGUGAUAUUUGUUAAAGAAAUUCGCUGAUAGAUGGGCAUGCGUUCCAUUAGGUAGUUGGUGAGGUAACGGCUCACCAAGCCGACGAUGGAUAGGGGAACUGAGAGGUUGGUCCCCCACACUGGUACUGAGACACGGACCAGACUCCUACGGGAGGCAGCAGUGAGGAAUAUUGGUCAAUGGGCGAGAGCCUGAACCAGCCAAGUCGCGUGAAGGAAGAAGGAUCUAUGGUUCGUAAACUUCUUUUGCAGGGGAAUAAAGUGCAGGACGUGUCCUGUUUUGUAUGUACCCUGAGAAUAAGGAUCGGCUAACUCCGUGCCAGCCGCCGC
rnacentral:rRNA from 1 species